rfam:Methylobacterium sp. 4-46, complete genome.
GCCUUCGGGAAGCGAUCUCCCGACGAGGCUCCGGCUGAAGAAUCGCGUCCAGCCUGCAUCUCUUGCAAGGACGCGCCAUG